CCUACGGGCGGCUGCAGUGGGGGAUAUUGCACAAUGGGGGAAACCCUGAUGCAGCGACGCCGCGUGUGGGAAGACGGUCCUCUGGAUUGUAAACCACUGUCCCCAGGGACGAAGAUGACGGUACCUGGGGAGGAAGCUCCGGCUAACUACGUGCCAGCAGCCGCGGUAAUACGUAGGGAGCGAGCGUUGUCCGGAAUUACUGGGUGUAAAGGGAGCGUAGGCGGGGAUGCAAGUUGGGGGUCAAAACUACCGGCUCAACUGGUAGUCGCACUCAAAACUGCAGCUCUUGAGUGAAGUAGAGGCAGGCGGAAUUCCUAGUGUAGCGGUGAAAUGCGUAGAUAUUAGGAGGAACACCGGUGGCGAAGGCGGCCUGCUGGACUGCGACUGACGUUGAGGCCCGAAAGCGUGGGGAGCAAACAGGAUUAGAUACCCGGGUAGUC
rnacentral:rRNA from 1 species